rnacentral:lncRNA from 1 species
CAAGCCGUAGCGGGACCACCGGCGGAUUCAAACAAACUUUAUAAGCAUGAUGCUUGUAUGUACGCUGCUCCUCGCUAUAGCUACUUCUGCUGCAGCAACAGACGAUGACGAUUACGAGUGGGAACCGAUUAACAUCACAGAGUUUCUUGACACAAACGACAAAAUAUGGACCGUCAUAACUACAGCUAACGACAGUCUUGAAUGCAAAGUUGACGAAAAAGAAUCCAUAAAUCGAACUUAUAUAUUAUUUUCUAGGAAACAUCGCACAUCUAGCACGAUUGUCACAACUAGACUACAAGGGAAGUUUAGUGGU